rnacentral:rRNA from 1 species
UACAGAGGUCCCAAGCGUUGUUCGGAUUCACUGGGCGUAAAGGGUGCGUAGGUGGUGAGGUAAGUCGGAUGUGAAAGCUCCAAGCUCAACUUGGAAAUGGCAUUGGAAACUACCUUGCUGGAGGUUUGGAGGGGGGACUGGAAUACUUGGUGUAGCAGUGAAAUGCGUAGAUAUCAAGUAGAACACCAGUGGCGAAGGCGAGUCCCUGGACAACACCUGACACUGAGGCACGAAAGCUAGGGGAGCAAACAGG